rnacentral:lncRNA from 1 species
CUGCGAAGAAACACAAAGAUGAAAUAGCCACCUCCGAAGCCCGUGCGCGUUUUCGGAUCAUUUACAAUUGCAUUUAAGUACAUAUCAAGGAGGCUAAAAGUAAAGUGGACCCUUUGUUUUUUAACUACGGAGUGAAUGUACAUACUAAACUACCACUGUUACAGCCUAAUUAAACAGACAUCAAUUUGGAAAAAAAAAUUGUUCCAAACAAAUUUGUGGUCCACUCAGAGGCAUUUUCAAAUUUCAAUAACACUCUGAAGUGAAUUAUGAGAAAGUUUCAUCCAAGUAACAAUAUACAAUAAUUAUCACUAUAUAAUUUUUCUUUAGUUGCCCAGUACCUUGAGAAUCCCAAGGAAAACAUUCAUUUAGACUCAAAAUUAAAAUAUAAAUAGAUAUAAUAAAUAUGUUUUAAACUGCUUUUACAAACAUAACAUUUUAACUAUUUUUUUGAAAGCGUUAACCGAAGAGGCUAUCUUGGGAACAAUACACAACCGUCUGUGCUAUGUGGAUAUUAUGAUUAACAUCAUUUGAAUUUCUACAAAUCGCAAGGGGGACAUGUCCCUUUGAUGUAUUUUCAAACCUUUAUGCAAGUGACAAAUCCCUACAGAUAUUUUAAAGGCUAAUUAUAAGGAGAAGUAAUCUAUGACAAUAUAAUUUUCCAGUUGCUGAAAAUUACUAUCUAUUGGCCAUAAUGAAAGCACUCACUAGCCCUCCCCUUUGCUUGGGCUAGAAUGCUACGAAUCUGGUUUUCAACAAUAUGCACUUGGACCUCAGCCAUUGAUGGGUGGAAGAGAAAACACUUUGAGCCCCAGUUUUAGGAAGCAGACACCCCACUUGUAUGCAUCAGCCUCUCCCUUCAGCUGCAUCCCUAGAAACAGAUGGAUGUGGCCUCAACCGGCACCUCUGUCCCCUCCACCCUUGGAACAGAGAAUAGUCUUGUGUUUCCUACCGUGAAGGCAGAGUGUUCUCUCUCUUUCUAAGAAAGAUAAUAAUUGAAGACACAAUUUAAGAGGACUGUAUUGCUAAUACAAUGAAGAAAGGAAAUAUCUGUUGUCCGUAUUUGCGCAAUCCCAGAUAAAAGGAAAGAGGAAGAAUUUUUUUUGUUUGUUUAACUCUGGCCCCAUGAUAAUAAAAGUAUUUUUAAAAGGUGUUCUAAUGUUACUUUGUUCUAUAUGGAG